UACGUAGGUGGCAAGCGUUGUCCGGAAUUAUUGGGCGUAAAGCGCGCGCAGGCGGUCUCUUAAGUCUGAUGUGAAAGCCCCCGGCUCAACCGGGGAGGGUCAUUGGAAACUGGGAGACUUGAGUGCAGAAGAGAAGAGUGGAAUUCCACGUGUAGCGGUGAAAUGCGUAGAGAUGUGGAGGAACACCGGUGGCGAAGGCGGCAUCCUGGACCAACACUGACACUGAGGAGCGAAAGCCAGGGGAGCAAACGGG
rnacentral:rRNA from 1 species